GUAUGGCGGUGCGCCUACCAUGCAGUCGAGCGAUGAUGGAAGUAACACAGAGCAGAGAUUAUUCUCUCUUCUGUGUUACUUCUUGAUUAGCGGCAAACGGGUGCGUAACACGUUGAUAUCUCCCCCCGAGUGAGGAAUAACUAUUCGAAAGAAUAGCUAAUACCGCAUAACACCUAUGGGUAAAAGCAGCAAUGCGCUUGGGGAAGAGUCUGCGGCCUAUCAGCUAGUUGGCGGGGUAAUAGCCCACCAAGGCAAUGACGGGUAGCUGGUCUGAGAGGACGGCCAGCCACAAUGGAACUGAGACACGGUCCAUACUCCUACGGGAGGCAGCAGUGAGGAAUCUUCCACAAUGGGCGAAAGCCUGAUGGAGCGACACCGCGUGAAGGAUGAAGCCUUUGUUGGUGUAAACUUCUUUUCUCUCCGAAGAUAAUGACGGUAGGAGAGGAAUAAGGGGCGGCAAACUUCGUGCCAGCAGCCGCGGUAAUACGAAGGCCCCAAGCGUUAUCCGGAAUUACUGGGCGUAAAGCGUCUGUAGGUGGUUUUGUAAGUCUCGAGUGAAAGGUCAGGGCUCAACCCUGUACUUGCUCGGGAAACUACAAGACUUGAGUGCGGGAGAGGCAAGCAGAACGGUGUGAGUAGGGGUGCAAUCC
rnacentral:rRNA from 1 species